rnacentral:rRNA from 1 species
UACAGAGGGUGCGAGCGUUGUUCGGAAUUAUUGGGCGUAAAGGGCGCGUAGGCGGUGCGGUAAGUCACCUGUGAAAUCUCCUGGCUCAACUGGGAGCUUGCAGGCGAAACUGCCGUGCUGGAGUGUGGGAGAGGUGCGUGGAAUUCCCGGUGUAGCGGUGAAAUGCGUAGAUAUCGGGGAGGAACACCUGUGGCGAAAAGCGGCGCACUGGACCACAACUGACGCUGAGGCGCGAAAGCUAGGGGAGCAAACAGG